rnacentral:rRNA from 1 species
CGCGUAGGCGGGUCAUCAAGUCCGGGGUGAAAUCCUUCGGCUUAACCGGAGAAUUGCCUUGGAUACUGGUGGUCUUGAGGGAAGUAGGGGUCUGCGGAACUUCCGGUGGAGCGGUGAAAUGUGUUGAUAUCGGAAGGAACGCCGGUGGCGAAAGCGGCGGACUGGGCUUCUUCUGACGCUGAGGCGCGAAAGCUAGGGGAGCAAACG